UGUAAACUAAGGGGGUGGGUUUUUUUCAGUGUAUUACAUAAUGGAGACUUGGGUUACCAAAAACAGAAAAUAUUGACCAUGUUGAGGCAGUACGUGAGCUGUCUUGGUCAGCACCCUGACCCAGGUGUAUCCAUCAACACGGGCACGUUAUAUCUAAAUGAAGAUAUGCAUUCAAGAAUGGUGACUGAAGCUCAUCUUUGUAAACACCUAAAUGCCUAGAAUGGACUCCAAAACAGAUUCUUAAAGUUUAACCAGUAUAAUCUUGAAUAUGGACAAAAAGUAUACACUUGGAACACACACAAAAACAGAUGAGUCCAUGCCAAGCUAAAGAUUAAUGCAGAUGGCAAAAGAGAACUGGAGAAAAAUGAAUUGAUGUUAACAUACUCUACAUUAAAUUUGGUUUAAAUCUAAA